AUCUAAACAUAGAAAAGGUACAGUAAGAAUACAGUAUUAUAUAUGUAAUCUUAUAUAUUACAUGUAUGCAGUCUGUCCUUGACUGAAACAUUUGUGGCAUAUGACUGUAAUUAAAACUUAAUGUCCUAGGUAUAUAAACAAACAGUAUAUGAGACAGAAAAGACAUCAGAAGUACACCUCAACAUGGAAUGUAAUGACUUUAGAGAUUACCUGUAGAUAUAAACAUAUUAUUUAAAUUAUUUCCUAUUACCUGAAGUUUAAAAAAAUGACAGGUUUUGGGGCUUUGGGAAGAGGGUAUAAAAAGGAAAACUUAUCAAGAAACAUGCCCUCAGGAAGAAAACUGUGUGCUUAAAAGCUAGACGUGAAUGGGAUUGCCAUCUGCAGAUGAGAAGGCAAGACCUCCAGUGUUUGGGAAGACAUCACUUCAGUAUUGUAAUGUGACAGAAGAGACUGAGAACGACCCUAGUCACAUUUAUGUAGUCACCACUCCUGUGGUAUCUGAGGGAAAGCAACAGCACAACCACCUGUGCUGCAGCUGUGACUGUCGCCUGGGCACUCAGCUCUGCAGUCCUUCCUUUACCAAGCUAUAGCUCUAAGUAGUCCAGUAUUCAACUUUGAGGUCAAAUUUGAGGUCACACCAAAACUAUAAAAUAGAUCUUGAUAUAGUUGAAAUAAUGAGUAGUAUAUGACAAAAUCCUGCAGAAUAAAGGAGAAAAUGACUCCCCAAACUGUCCUUCAUUACUUCAUGUGGCUUUAAUGCUACUUUAAGGAGAGGUGAUCUCUUUGAAUGAGAAAGGCUUAUUAGUCAAACAUCAUUUUUAUGAUAGCUACCAUUUACUUACACACCUACUGUGUGCCAAGCAUCAUGCUAGCCAUUUUGUUUCAUUCACUAGGUAUACAACAAAGUACAAAACAAAUCUAGACCCAAAGGGCAUGGCUCACAGCCUAGCAGAGGAGAUAAACUUCAAGCAAGUAACAAAUGAUUCAAAAUUACAAUAAAGGCUAUAAAGGAAAAGAAGAAGUUACUAAGAUAAAUUAUAACAGAGAUUGAGUGUGUAGGGCACCUAUAGGAAUUUCAUUAAGAUGCUUUCAGCUACAAGGAAAAGAAACUCUGAACCAAAGUGGCCUGCACAAUAAAGAAGUUUCUUCUCUUGGCAGCUCAUGGAGAGCUAGAGCAGGUUUUGCAGUUGGUGGUUUCAGUGGCUAAACCGUAUUAUCAGGUGCCUGGGUUCUUGUGUUGGCUCUGCUGCCCACAGUAUCAAUUUCCUUUUAAGCCUGACUCUUUGUAUGGUUAUAAGAAGUCUAAAAAAAAUUGGGUGUUUGUUUUUCUCUCACUUAAAAAGUUGCAACUAGGAUUUCUUGUCUUCUUGUUCAUGUCCAGCAGGAGAGGGAAAGAGGAGUAUGCUAGGACUAAGUCCUUCCCUUCGGGCUAAUUGGUGCACCAUGGCAGAAGGACUGCUAGUUGUGCACCGAGAUCCAUGAUCCUAAGUUUUUAGUGGGGCACAGAGCCACCGGGAGCAAAGAUUACAUUUCCCAGCUUUCCUAAGAACCAGGUGUGGCCUUUUGACUCUUUUGGUAAUAGAGGUGAACCUUAGAAAGUUCUUCCUGAAUUGGGUCCAAAGGUUAUCCAGCCUCAAAAGAACAGAUAAAAGCCUAUUUCUGCCUUUUCUGAGUCACGUGAUGUUCUCUACAAGAUGGCUUCUCUCUGCCUGAAUUUCUCAUCCAGCAAUCCAGUUAGGCUGUAAGCAAUCUUGCUAUGUUGUUAUAAACUAUGCUCUGUGUAUUAAA